GAUGAACGCUGGCGGCGUGCCUAAUACAUGCAAGUCGAGCGAACAGAUGAGGAGCUUGCUCCUCUGACGUUAGCGGCGGACGGGUGAGUAACACGUGGAUAACCUACCUAUAAGACUGGGAUAACUUCGGGAAACCGGAGCUAAUACCGGAUAAUAUAUUGAACCGCAUGGUUCAAUAGUGAAAGACGGUUUUGCUGUCACUUAUAGAUGGAUCCGCGCCGCAUUAGCUAGUUGGUAAGGUAACGGCUUACCAAGGCAACGAUGCGUAGCCGACCUGAGAGGGUGGGCGGCCACAGUGGGAGAGAGACCGGGUCCAAGCUCCUACGGGGGGCCGGAGUGGGGAAUUCUCCGAAAGGGGGGAAAGGCAGAAGGGACAAACGCGGGGGAGGAAAUAAGGUUUUCGGAUCAAAAAACUUUUUUAAUGGGGGAAAAAAAAUGUUAAAGGAAAUGUGCGUCUUGACGCGGGCACAAAACAAAAAGCCGCGGGUUACCACG
rnacentral:rRNA from 1 species